GGUUAAGUUAUGAAGGGCGCAUGGUGAAUGCCUUGGUACUAGGAGCCGAUGAAGGACGGGACUAACACCGAUAUGCUUCGGGGAGCGGUAAGUACGCUUUGAUCCGGAGAUUUCCGAAUGGGGAAACCCAACCAACUUAGUCGUUGGUUGCUUGACUAGUGAAUCUAUAGCUAGCAAGCGGUAGACGCAGUGAACUGAAACAUCUCAGUAGCUGCAGGAAGAGAAAGAAAAAUCGAUUCCCUCAGUAGCGGCGAGCGAACGGGGAAGAGCCCAAACCAACGAGCUUGCUCGUUGGGGUUGUAGGACUGAACAUUUGAGUUACCAAAGAGCGACGUAGUCGAAACAGUUGGGAAGCUGUGCCAGAGAUGGUGAAAGCCCAGUAGACGAAACGGCACUCUCUCAGUUCAGGAUCCUGAGUACGGCGGGACACGUGAAACCCCGUCGGAAGCAGCGAGGACCAUCUC
rnacentral:rRNA from 2 species